AUUAUUUUUAUAUCCCAGACCCCAAAUCAGAUCUAAUAUGCUAAACCCUCCUUCACCGCAUCCACGCACCCUCCGUCGCACACCCCUCCUCACGCAACCGCCGACGCCGACGCCACAGUCGCCACCCCGGAACAGCUUCGUCGCUCGCAACAGUGCGUCGUCGAUCUACAGCUGCCAACGCCGUCUCCACCGCCUACCCUUCCGAUCUGCUUCGUUGUUCCCUCCUCCGGCUCCCCUGCGACGCCACAUCUCCCAGCCACCGCAGUUCACGUACUUUUAAGGGUCACAUGUACAUAGCAGGUUGACUCUGGAAAUCCCUAUGUUUUGGUUUAUUGAUGGGGAAACAUUGUUAGUUGACAAGCGUUACCAAGCAAAGGCACUAUCCGAUAUGGUUAUUGUUGUUCAGUCAGAAUCAUCAUCAUGGGAAAGUCACUUAAGUGGGACUUGAGGUAAAGUUGAACCCGUCACUUGAAGAUGCUUGGCUGUGCUUGGGUAACUGCAUAUGGAAGAAAGGGGAUUUAGCUUCAGCCAAGAAUUGUUUCAUGUUUGGUUUGAGCAAGGGACCCAACAAACAAAUACUUUGUCAACUGUCAAUGCUUGAAAGAAAAAUGGCUCAAGGUGCUGAAGAUCAAGCAGAAAUUGUUGAAGAGAGCAAAAAGCAUGCAAAGGAAGCUAUCACUGUAGAUGUCAAGGAUGGAUAUUCCUGGUUACAGAUAACUUAGGUAAUGCCUAUCACACAUCAUUUUUUGUCACCGGAGCUUGGGAUCUGGAAAACUUCUACAAUCAUUGAAAGCAUACCAAAAUGCUUUCCAACAAGUUGAUUAUGACAAAGCGGUUAUUGAUCUGG